CCUACGGGAGGCAGCAGUAGGGAAUCUUGCGCAAUGGGCGAAAGCCUGACGCAGCCAUGCCGCGUGAAUGAUGAAGGUCUUAGGAUUGUAAAAUUCUUUCACCGGGGACGAUAAUGACGGUACCCGGAGAAGAAGCCCCGGCUAACUUCGUGCCAGCAGCCGCGGUAAUACGAAGGGGGCUAGCGUUGCUCGGAAUUACUGGGCGUAAAGGGAGCGUAGGCGGAUAGUUUAGUCAGAGGUGAAAGCCCAGGGCUCAACCUUGGAACUGCCUUUGAUACUGGCUAUCUUGAGUACGGGAGAGGUGAGUGGAACUCCGAGUGUAGAGGUGAAAUUCGUAGAUAUUCGGAAGAACACCAGUGGCGAAGGCGACUCACUGGCCCGUUACUGACGCUGAGGCUCGAAAGCGUGGGGAGCAAACAGGAUUAGAUACCCUGGUAGUCCACGCUGUAAACGAUGAGUGCUAGUUGUCGGCAUGCAUGCAUGUCGGUGACGCAGCUAACGCAUUAAGCACUCCGCCUGGGGAGUACGGUCGCAAGAUUAAAACUCAAAAUGAAUUGACGG
rnacentral:rRNA from 1 species